ACUCAAAGGAAUUGACGGGGACCCGCACAAGCAGCGGAGCAUGUGGUUUAAUUCGAAGCAACGCGAAGAACCUUACCAGGGCUUGACAUCCCUCUGGAGGCAGCUAGAGAUAGCAGCUGUUAUUCUUCGGAAUACAGAGGUGACAGGUGGUGCAUGGUUGUCGUCAGCUCGUGUCGUGAGAUGUUGGGUUAAGUCCCGCAACGAGCGCAACCCUUGUCCUUAGUUGCCAUCACGUAAAGGUGGGCACUCUAAGGAGACCGCCGGGGAUAACUCGGAGGAAGGUGGGGAUGACGUCAAAUCAUCAUGCCCCUUAUGUCCUGGGCUACACACGUGCUACAAUGGCCUGUAACAGAGGGCAGCGAAGGCGUAAGCUGGAGCGAAUCCCAGAAACCAGGUCUCAGUUCGGAUUGUGGGCUGCAAUUCGCCCACAUGAAGUAGGAGUUGCUAGUAAUCGCGAAUCAGAAUGUCGCGGUGAAUACGUUCCCGGGUCUUGUACACACCGCCCGU
rnacentral:rRNA from 1 species